rnacentral:rRNA from 1 species
AACGAACGCUGGCGGCAUGCCUAACACAUGCAAGUCGAACGGGAUCCUGGCUUCGGUCAGGUGAGAGUGGCGGACGGGUGAGUAACGCGUGGGAACCUGCCCAGUGGUGGGGGAUAACUGCGGGAAACUGCAGCUAAUACCGCAUGAGCCCGAGAGGGGAAAGAUUUAUCGCCAUUGGAGGGGCCCGCGUUCGAUUAGGUAGUUGGUGAGGUAACGGCUCACCAAGCCGACGAUCGAUAGCUGGUCUGAGAGGAUGAUCAGCCACACUGGGACUGAGAUACGGCCCAGACUCCUACGGGAGGCAGCAGUGGGGAAUAUUGGACAAUGGGGGCAACCCUGAUCCAGCAAUGCCGCGUGAGUGAUGAAGGCCUUCGGGUUGUAAAGCUCUUUUGGCGGGGACGAUGAUGACGGUACCGCAGAAGAAGCCCCGGGCUAACUUCGUGCCAGCAGCCGCGUAAU